GAUGAACGCUGGCGGCGUGCCUAAUACAUGCAAGUCGAACGCACAGCGAAAGGUGCUUGCACCUUUCAAGUGAGUGGCGAACGGGUGAGUAACACGUGGACAACCUGCCUCAAGGCUGGGGAUAACAUUUGGAAACAGAUGCUAAUACCGAAUAAAACUUAGUGUCGCAUGACACGAAGUUAAAAGGCGCUUUGGCGUCACCUAGAGAUGGAUCCGCGGUGCAUUAGUUAGUUGGUGGGGUAAAGGCCUACCAAGACAAUGAUGCAUAGCCGAGUUGGGAGACUGAUCGGCCACAUUGGGACUGAGACACGGACCAAACUCCUACGGGAGGCUGCAGUAGGGAAUCUUCCACAAUGGGCGAAAGCCUGAUGGAGCAACGCCGCGUGUGUGAUGAAGGCUUUCGGGUCGUAAAGCACUGUUGUAUGGGAAGAACAGCUAGAAUAGGGAAUGAUUUUAGUUUGACGGUACCAUACCAGAAAGGGACGGCUAAAUACGUGCCAGCCGCCGCGGUAA
rnacentral:rRNA from 1 species